CGGGGCCAGCGGGGGUCGCCGGGGCGCGGGUCAGGGUUGGAACGGCGGGGCAGCUGCGGGGGCUGAGCCCCCCUAGAGACAACAGCCCCCCUGUAAGAUUUGAAAAUGUGAGCGGGGUCUCCGAUUUUAUUAGAGCUUCGUGAAGGGCAGCCAAUUGUUUUGCAGCCUCCCUCCCUGCACAGUUCGAGCCCUGCCCCCAGUCCAAGGAUAGCCCAGUCCAGACAAGUCAGACCUUGCAGAAGAAGGCACCCCCCGAGCAGGGGGGAAAUCCCUCCCUGCCCCAGUACAGCUGGGACUCAGCCUGAGCGCCGGGGCAAGACCCUCCAGCCAGCACUCUGCCGGGUUGGAGCCAACAGGAGCAUUGGCACGGCCCAGCCCCAUCCCCAGCGCCUCUGGGAGAGGCUUCAAAACCUGACACAUGGAGCAGAAAGGGGGUGGGGGCAACCAGCACAGCCCAGAAGCCCGGGACACCCCCACAGCAGAGCACAGGCAUUGCUGGGCCUAGACCCUCCUGGACCAGUGCCCAUCCAGCCUCUCCUUGACAUCUCCGCUGGUAGAAAGUCCUCCCCUGCUCUGACAGGGAAGACAUGUUCCUGGAUCUCCAACGUAAACCUACCUUGCUGCAACUUCCAGCCAUUGGUCCACGUAUUCCUUUCCAAAGGGGUCACAAAGUGCCAUGCCACAGCCACUGCAGGAAGGACACAGGCUACCCUUGAGGGCUGGAGCUGGGAGCACGCUACACCACGCACCUGCAUGGCCCAUGUCACCAGGCACCCCAGUUGCAGCACCCAGAGGACUUGCCUGCACUUGCUUGCUGGAGGAUGCCCCUGCUGCAGCAGCACGCAGCCGAUGUCUGCAGUCACACAAGAGCCUGUCUGCAGGCAAGCCAGGGAGAGCACGAAUGCAGUCCCACACUGCCACAAAUUGUGCAGUCGAGUUUCCUGUGUGGGGAAAUCACAGGGGUCAGCACACCUGAAGUGCAAGGGGUACGUGCCUGGGAGCCAUGGACUGGGGCAGGCCAGCUCCUGGGGCUGCUCCACUGACCAUUAGCCUGUCUGCGGUUGCCAGGUGCCUGCUGGUCCGUUCGCUGAGUUGCACACGACUGCCCUUCUUCCGGGCAGCUUGCAGCAAGGGCAUGGAGCAUUGAUACACCUAUAUCAUCUAAUCUCCCUGUGUCCCAUCUUAGCCUGGAGGCCGAGGGCUGCAUGGAGCCGGUCUCAGCACUGCUGGCCCGCAUCCAGAUGGCUUUGGUGCGGGUGGCAUGGGCAGCCAAGCAGCUGGAGCCAGCUGGAAGCGUACAUGGCCUUCCCUCCUCUCGCCUGGCUCCUGGCCCCUGCCAGGGGAGCGGGCCAAGGUGGGGAAGCACCCAGAGGUAGAGCAGGGGCAGGAGCAGGCCCCUGGGCCCCGACCCGCACAUGGCCUCCGCCGAGCACCUUGGCAUCCUAUCGAUGCCACCGGGGGACUGUCCCAAAGAAGCCUGACCUUAGUUCUGCCCAGCCUAAAGCACAGUUUGGCCAUGCCAGGCUGCCAACUAAGAGCCCCCAGGCUGCUAUACUAUAAUGGCUUGAAUAAGGAGCUGGCUUUUGGGCUGGGAUUAUGGCUAGAAAUUCUGCUUGGGCCACCUAUAAGAAUACCUCUGUGCCACUGGGGGGCUGUACCGGAUGCAUCUGACCAGAGUCUUGUCCAGCCCAAAGUGCAGUUUCACCAUGCCAGGCUGCCAACUGACAGCAGCUUUGCCACUGUGCUAAAUAUAUGGACCUGAAUAAUGAACUGGCAUUUGGGCUGGGAUUAUACCCAGAAAUCUUUCUUGGCCCAUUCCAGAACACAUCUCUGUGCCACUAGAGGACACUCCUUGGCAUUGCUGAUGAAAGAUUUGCCUAGCCCAAAGCACGGUUUGGCCAUGCCAGGCUGCCAAUUGACAGCACCCCAGCCACUGUGCUAAGUAUAUAGACCCAAAUUAGGAACUGGAUUUUGGGCUGGGAUUAUAGAUUGAAA